GACGUAGGGCGCGAGCGUUGUCCGGAUUUAUUGGGCGUAAAGAGCUCGUAGGCGGCUUGUCGCGUCGACUGUGAAAACCCGUGGCUCAACCAUGUGGUCUGCAGUCGAUACGGGCAGGCUAGAAUUCGGUAGGGGAGACUGGAAUUCCUGGUGUAGCGGUGAAAUGCGCAGAUAUCAGGAGGAACACCGGUGGCGAAGGCGGGUCUCUGGGCCGAUAUUGACGCUGAUGCGCGAAAGCCAGGGGAGCAAACGGG
rnacentral:rRNA from 1 species